CAAAAGACAAAUAAAUGCAUUUUCCAGAUCAUGGUCAAUCUGUGCAGGCUCCGCAACUGGACUGCUAAGGGAAUGACUUGUAAAUCCCACACCUCCAAAGCCUUCUAUAGGACCUGUAUACUNNNNNNNNNCAUCCAAGGAGACAUUAUGGGAUUCGGCGGUAAGGAAAUAGCCAGUGGAAGCGUCGCCCUGUUGCAUCAUCAGGCGCUCCUUGCAAUCAAGAUCGGAAGCGNNNCAUCAAAUCGAAUUCAGAGAAGAAGGACCCCUGCAACACCGCGUUGACCCAAUGUACGGCGCAAAGUUUAGCCUCUUGCACCUCAUGGUACAACAUCCC
rnacentral:misc_RNA from 1 species